rnacentral:lncRNA from 1 species
AAUGAACUAUAAAUUAAUUUAUUCUGACUACAGAAAUUGCUCCAUUUUUCGUAUACUAACCAUACCAGGAGGAAAUGCUUGCAUGGUCCUCCUCACGACUACUUCUGUGAGAAGUGGAAUGCCCAAAUAUUGUGAAUCUAUGUUUAAUAACUCAUGUGCAAAAUAUCAUGAGCUCGACAAAAUAUUUGAAGAUAGCUGCAACACAACUAUAGAGGGAGAUGAGUGUUCUGUUUAUUCUGCAGCAAUGAGCGAUAUAGAGCGCUGA